AAUGAACGCUGGCGGUAUGCUUAACACAUGCAAGUCGAACGAAGAUUUUUAAUCUUAGUGGCGGACGGGUGAGUAACACGUGAGAAUCUGCCCUUAGGAAGAGGAUAACAGCUGGAAACGGUUGCUAAUACUCUAUACGCCGAAAGGUAAAAGGAAAUAUCCACCUUAGGAAGAGCUCGCGUCUGAUUAGCUUGUUGGUGAGGUAAUGGCUCACCAAGGCGACGAUCAGUAGCUGGUUUGAGAGGACGACCAGCCACACUGGGACUGAGACACGGCGCAGACUCCUACGGGAGGCAGCAGUGGGGAAUUUUCCGCAAUGGGCGAAAGCCUGACGGAGCAAUACCGCGUGGGGGAUGAAAGCCUGUGGGUUGUAAACCUCUUUUCUCAAGGAGGAAAUUUUGACGGUACUUGAGGAAUAAGCAUCGGCUAACUCUGUGCCAGCCGCCGCCGUAA
rnacentral:rRNA from 1 species